UGACGUUAGCUCUGUGGAAGGAGCAUUGGAUUCGGGAUCCAAAGACGCCGGUUCGAUUCCGGCACGUCAGCCA
rnacentral:tRNA from 1 species